rnacentral:RNase_P_RNA from 1 species
CAACUGUAGUAAAUGAUCGCGGCUUAUUGGCGUUUCGUCAAUAGGGUGAGGAAAGUCCGGGCUUCACAGGGCAGGAUGCCGGAUAACGUCCGGUGGAGGUGACUCCAAGGCCAGUGCAACAGAAAUAUACCGCCGAAACGGGACUUUGUCUCGUUCUGGUAAGGGUGGAAAGGCAGUGUAAGAGACUACCGUGUGGCUGGUAACAGCCAUAGCCAUGUAAACCCCAUCCGAAGCAAGACCAAACAGGGAACGAUAGAUUUGCCCGGUCUGUUUCCAGGUAGGUCGCUUGAGGCUGAUGGCAACGUCAGUCCUAGAUAGAUGAUCAUUCGUGCUGCUGCGAAUGCGGCAGCGCUGACAGAACCCGGCUUAUCGCUGCGGUUGCCAA